UACGGAGGAUGCGAGCGUUAUCCGGAUUUAUUGGGUUUAAAGGGUGCGUAGGCGGAACAAUAAGUCAGUGGUGAAAACCUGCAGCUUAACUGUAGAAUUGCCAUUGAUACUGUUGGACUUGAGUUCGGUCAAGGUAGGCGGAAUGUGUAAUGUAGCGGUGAAAUGCUUAGAUAUUACACAGAACACCGAUUGCGAAGGCAGCUUACUGGGCCGCGACUGACGCUGAGGCACGAAAGCGUGGGGAG
rnacentral:rRNA from 1 species